CUAGCCGUAAACGAUGGGUACUAGGUGUAGGAGGUUUCGAUACCUUCUGUGCCGCAGUUAACGCAAUAAGUACCCCGCCUGGGGAGUACGUGCGCAAGCAUGAAACUCAAAGGAAUUGACGGGGGCCCGCACAAGCAGUGGAGUAUGUGGUUUAAUUCGAAGCAACGCGAAGAACCUUACCAGGGCUUGACAUCCUCGGACGACACUAGAGAUAGUGUUUUCUCUUCGGAGACUGAGAGACAGGUGG
rnacentral:rRNA from 1 species